rnacentral:rRNA from 1 species
CCUACGGUAGGCUGCAGUGAGGAAUAUUGGUCAAUGGACGCAAGUCUGAACCAGCAAUGCCGCGUGCAGGAAGACGGCUCUAUGAGUUGUAAACUGCUUUUGUACGAGGGUAAACGCAGAUACGCGUAUCUGUCUGACAGUAUCGUACGAAUAAGGAUCGGCUAACUCCGUGCCAGCAGCCGCGGUAAUACGGAGGAUUCCAGAGUUAUACGGAUUUAUUGGGUUUUAGGGGUGCGUAGGGGGUCGGAUAAGUUAGAGGUGAAAUCCCGAGGCUCAACUUCGGAAUUGCCUCUGAUACUGUUCGGCUAGAGAGUAGUUGCGGUAGGCGGAAUGUAUGGUGUAGCGGUGAAAUGCUUAGAGAUCAUACAGAACACCGAUUGCGAAGGCAGCUUACCAAGCUACUUCUGACGUUGAGGCACGAAAGCGUGGGGAGCAAACAGGAUUAGAUACCCUUGUAGUC